AUACGUAGGGGGCGAGCGUUAUCCGGAUUUAUUGGGCGUAAAGCGUGUGUAGGCGGUUUGUUAAGUUUAAGAUUAAAGCCCGAGGCUUAACCUCGGUUCGUCUUAAAAACUGGCAGACUUGAGUGCAGUAGAGGCAAGUGGAAUUUCUAGUGUAGCGGUUAAAUGCGUAGAUAUUAGAAGGAACACCAGUGGCGAAGGCGGCUUGCUGGGCUGUUACUGACGCUGAGACACGAAAGCGUGGGGAGCAAAUAGGAUUAGAUACCCUAGUAGUCCACGCCGUAAACGAUGAGUACUAAGUGUCGGGUAACCGGUGCUGAAGUUAACACAUUAAGUACUCCGCCUGAGUAGUACGGUCGCAAGGCUGAAACUUAAAGGAAUUGACGGGG
rnacentral:rRNA from 1 species